AUUGAACGCUGGCGGCAUGCCUAACACAUGCAAGUCGAGCGGAUGAAGGGAGCUUGCUCCUGGAUUCAGCGGCGGACGGGUGAGUAAUGCCUAGGAAUCUGCCUGGUAUUUGGGGAUAACGUCCGGAAACGGGCGCUAAUACCGCAUACGUCCUGAGGGAGAAAGUGGGGGAUCUUCGGACCUCACGCUAUCAGAUGAGCCUAGGUCGGAUUAGCUAGUUGGUGGGGUAAAGGCUUACCAAGGCGACGAUCCGUAACUGGUCUGAGAGGAUGAUCAGUCACACUGGAACUGAGACACGGUCCAGACUCCUACGGGAGGCAGCAGUGGGGAAUAUUGGACAAUGGGCGAAAGCCUGAUCCAGCCAUGCCGCGUGUGUGAAGAAGGUCUUCGGAUUGUAAAGCACUUUAAGUUGGGAAGAAGGGAAGUAAGUUAAUACCUUGCUGUUUUGACGGUACCAACAGAAUAAGCAACGGCUAACUUCGUG
rnacentral:rRNA from 1 species